UACGUAGGAUGCAAGCGUUGUCCGGAAUUAUUGGGCGUAAAGAGCGCGCAGGCGGUAUGACAAGUCAGAUGUGAAAGAGGCCGGCUUAACCGGCAAGGGUCAUUUGAAACUGUCAGACUAGGGUGCAGCAGAGGAUAGUGGAAUUCCCGGUGUAGUGGUGAAAUGCGUAGAUAUCGGGAGGAACACCAGUGGCGAAGGCGACUAUCUGGGCUGCAACUGACGCUGAGGCGCGAAGGCUAGGGUAGCAAACAGG
rnacentral:rRNA from 1 species